rnacentral:rRNA from 1 species
AGUGAACGCUGGCGGUAGGCCUAACACAUGCAAGUCGAACGGCAGCACAGUAAGAGCUUGCUCUUACGGGUGGCGAGUGGCGGACGGGUGAGGAAUACAUCGGAAUCUACUUUUUCGUGGGGGUUAACGUAGGGACACUUACGCUAAUACCGCAUACGACCUACGGGUGAAAGCAGGGGAUCUUCGUACCUUUCGCGAUUGAAUGAGCCGAUGCCGGAUUAGCUAGUUGGCGGGUUAACGGCCCACCCAGGCGACGAUCCGUAGCUGGUCGGAGAGGAGGAUCGGCCACACGGGAACUGAGACACGGACCAGACGACUACGGGAGGCACCAGUGGGGAAUAGUGGACAAGGGGGGCAAGCAUUAACCAGAGAUAGGGAGAGGGAGAAGAAGGCGUGGGGGGUGUAAAGCCGGUUUGUAGGGAAAGAAAAGCAGCAGGAUAAUACCAAGCGGGUGUGACGGUAACGAAAGAAGAAGCACCGGCUAACUACGUG